rnacentral:rRNA from 1 species
UGGGGAAUUUUGGACAAUGGGCGCAAGCCUGAUCCAGCCAUGCCGCGUGCGGGAAGAAGGCCUUCGGGUUGUAAACCGCUUUUGUCAGGGAAGAAACGCUCCGGGCUAAUACCCUGGAGUAAUGACGGUACCUGAAGAAUAAGCACCGGCUAACUACGUGCCAGCAGCCGCGGUAAUACGUAGGGUGCAAGCGUUAAUCGGAAUUACUGGGCGUAAAGCGUGCGCAGGCGGCUUUGCAAGACAGAUGUGAAAUCCCCGGGCUUAACCUGGGAACUGCAUUUGUGACUGCAUGGCUGGAGUGCGGCAGAGGGGGAUGGAAUUCCGCGUGUAGCAGUGAAAUGCGUAGAUAUGCGGAGGAACACCGAUGGCGAAGGCAAUCCCCUGGGCCUGCACUGACGCUCAUGCACGAAAGCGUGGGGAGCAAACA